UACGGGGGGGGCAAGCGUUGUUCGGAAUUACUGGGCGUAAAGGGCUCGUAGGCGGCCCGGUAAGUCCGUUGUGAAAGUCAAAGGCUCAACCUUUGAAUGCCGAUGGAUACUGCCGGGCUCGAGUCCGGAAGAGGCGAGUGGAAUUCCUGGUGUAGCGGUGGAAUGCGCAGAUAUCAGGAGGAACACCGAUAGCGAAGGCAGCUCGCUGGGACGGUACUGACGCUGAGGCGCGAAAGCGUGGGGAGCGAACAGG
rnacentral:rRNA from 1 species